UGUCAGCAUCGUCUCCCAUAGAAUGCUGUGGGCCACUGACAGCGGGAAAAUGUCUCAAUAGAAAUGACCCGAUCAGGUUUGCCCCAGAAGUCAGGAGAAGUGCAGUCCUCAUCAAGCUGGAAAAAGCUUGUUUGCUCCUCCUCCUCCAAACCGGAGAAAUCAAUAUCCGAGUCGUUUGAGGUGGAGUCAGAGCAGUUGUUGGAGGUAGAAUAAUAGCAUUCCUCGUGCUUGACUCCAUUGCCAGUGACCAGAAUAAUAUUGCAGCCGCCUCCCGCGAUAGUCGUGGCUGAACGACGACAACAUCAACAUACAGCUGGCUGGUUAUACGAUGUACUGGCAGGAUGGAACAGAGGCAUCUGGUAUCAUGGCUCGAGAUUUCUUUGAGGAAGAAAUCAUCAAGAGAUAUGCUGGACCCCAUGUCAGAGAGGUG